AAAGCUCUGUGGUGAAAUCUCAUAUUGAAUUGCAAAUUCAAAGAAGCAGCUUCAAUUCUGCCGGGGCUUC
rnacentral:tRNA from 1 species